AAUAAGCACAUUAAUAUUUGUUCAUAAACAAAAUUAGGCCCUUAACUAUAACAGUUUUUUUUCCGGGAACAAUUUCGAAAAAAAAUAGUUGAUGAGAAGUAAACAUAUCUUUAUUUUUUCUUUAUAACAUCGUAACUUUAUUGAUAUCAAAUUAAUGUAAUAUAUUACAUGAAACAUAAAUUACACUAAACAUGUUGUUAAGAAAAACUUUCAAUACAUACAUCAUUGACAUGAUGCUUCAUAACGCAUUCGUAAGACAACUUAGAUUCAGUAGCUUUCUUCCACUUCGUUCUUGGUUUUCGAAAAGUCAAUGUUCAAAGCAAUAAAAUAAAAAAUGACAUCAAACUUCAUCAAUUGAAUCGCGAAUAAGAAAAGUACUUUGAAUGUUCAACUAAUUGGAUAGAUGGAUUAAGUCGAACAAAAGGGUAAAUCACCAGAUGGAUUAAGUCUAACAAAAGGGUAAAAUCACCUAGUAUAUUCCAUGAUUCCAAUAUAUAUCGAGACAUAAUAAGACAAACUCUAUUUUGAUGAAGAUUAGAAACAACCUUUACCUAUCUGAAGGCUUUAUUACAAACUGUAUCAUAUAAUAUAAUAAUAAGUAAAAGGGAGAUAAGAGUAUCAGCUAGCGUAUCCACCUCAGCAGAUUAAAUCAACCAAUUAGAGAGCAGUAUGAUGCCACAUCACUCCAGCUUUGUCGAAACCUAGCAUGUCUCAUAGUCUUCACCUUCUAUGUUUCUAUGUGUUUCUAACUUCUCUGAUUCUCAUGUGUAACGUCGGGGGCCAACUCAUAAAACCCUUUUAUUUACUGAAACAAUCGAGACGAAGAAACUGUUGAGAAUCCCUCUGCUUUUCACUUAUUUAUACCCAUAUUCUCAUUCUCUUCCCCUAGCCAAAAUAUUGAAACUGUAUAAGCACCUCAGAAAAUGGCUUCCAAAUCUGCAAAAUCAAUGGGGAAGGCUACAACAAGGUUUUCUUUCUCGAAAAUUUGUUUUAGGGUUCUUCGAAAUUGGCUUUUCUAGGAAAAGCUUCCAUUGACUUUGCAGAAUUCCUUACAGAAGGAGACCCAUUAAUUGUAUCCCUUCCUCUCAAGUUUUCCAACUCUGGUGCUGUCUUGAAUGUAAUCUCUCUUCUCUUUUUCUUUUAAAGCAUUAGUAAGAAGAAAUAGUUCUUCAUUGUUGUGUGCAGGUUACGAUUGAGAAGAUCCAAGGAGGCAAUGAUUUAAGGUAAAAUAGUUUCUAUAUAAGUUAUGUGUACCUGCUGUUAUUGUAUUGCUUUCAAUCCUGUUAUGAGAUUCUUGAUUUCAAGUUAUUGCAGAUUUUUCAAGAUGAAAAUAAGGUCAAUACUUUCCAAAGUGGAUAGCUUCAGAAGCCUACCGAGCAAUGAUUAUUUAGAGGGAUAUAACGAAGACGAAUUGAGCUUAAAUGUUAACAUGGCUUAGACUGUUGGUCUAGGAGGUUCAACUGAUUCCAUUGGUGAAUCACGUGGAUGGAUGGUUCGGAAGGGAAUGCACACUCGCCAGUUCCGGCAUCAAUAACGCAUUAUUGUUUAUUAAAUCCUGGGUACAAAUCAAAAUCCAUAAAACCACGAACAUGGAAGAAUAAAGUCCAAACCUCUCUAGGUGCCCAAAGGAGUUGGAACUGAUUCCAAUGAAGGUUUCGACCUCAGUAGACUGAAACGUCCCAUGCUUCGUCUCCACAAUCCUCAUCUCAAAAACAAGAUCCGUGGAGAUAUUGGAGAGAACUGGUGCUGACAAAAGGUUCAUAUAUUGUACUUGGGUAGAAGAACAUGAUGAUUAUGAGUUUGUCACGGAAUCUCAUUAUCAGAUGUUGUCAACUUCUUGGAUGGUAUGUGAGAAUAGUUUUUCUUUUCCAAGUUUAUAUUAAUGUCUCAGUUGUUACUGUUUGUUGUUCCCAUGAUUAUAUUAAAGAGGAUGCUCAUGAUUCAAUGGUGUACAGUUACUAGCAUGGCUUCUCAGGUUUUGAGGAAAAGCUUACGAAGUCCCAAGCUCAGCAAAUAGCAGGUACUUUGUCUUAAGUCUCAUCUUUUCUUGGGUUUCUUAUUAAAUAAGGUUUUUAUUUACUUAAACUGCAUAGCAAACCAUCUCUUCAACUUUCUUUAACUGAUCACCCACGUCAUAUGCGUGUCUUUUAUUCCUUAACACCACAUCUAGCGACACAUGUCUACUUUGACAAACAUACAGCAGCUGGCAAGAGCUUUUUCAGAGGUUGGAGUCUAAUGCCGACACUAACCCGGGAGCAGUAUCCACCUCAGCAGAUUAAAUCAACCAAUUAGAGAGCAGUAUGAUGCCACAUCACUCCAACUUUGUCGAAACCUAGCAUGUCUCAUAGUCUUCACCUUCUAUGUUUCUAUGUGUUUCUAACUUCUCUGAUUCUCAUCUGUAACGUUGGGGGCCAACUCAUAAAACCCUUUAUUUACCGCAACAAUCGAGACCAAGAAACUGUUGAGAAUCCCUCUGCUUUUCACUUAUUUGUACCCAUAUUCACAUUCUCUUCCCCUAGCCAAAAUAUUGAAACUGUAUAAGCACCUCAGAAAAUGGCUUCCAAAUCUGCAAAAUCAAUGGGGAAGGCUACAACAAGGUUUUCUUUCUCGAAAAUUUGUUUUAGGGUUCUUCGAAAUUGGUUUUCUAGGAAAAGCUUCCACUGACUUUGCAGAAUUCCUUACAGAAGGAGACCCAUUAAUUGUAUCCCUUCCUCUCAAGUUUUCCAACUCA